rnacentral:tRNA from 2 species
AAUGAUGAGCCUGAUUAAAGGACUAUCGUGAUAGGAUAAAACAUGCAGUUAAAGCUGCCUUCAUUA